GAUGAAGAACGUAGCGAAAUGCGAUAAGUAGUGUGAAUUGCAGACUUUAGUGAAUCAUCGAAUCUUUGAACGCACAUUGCGCCCCUUGGUAUUCCAUUGGGCAUGCCUGUUCGAGCGUCAUUUACAACCUCAAGCUCCGCUUGGUGUUGGGUGUCUGUCUGCGCUUCUUGCGAAGACUCGCCCUAAAUCUAUUGGCAGCGGCAUCGCCGGCUUCUCGCGCAGUACAAUGCGUUAUGGAAGGCUACCGGCGGGCUUGCGUCCAUCAAGUAACCCCCCAAGUCUGACCUCGAAUCAGGUAGGGAUACCCGCUGAACUUAAGCAUAUCAAUAAGCGGAGGA
rnacentral:misc_RNA from 1 species